CAUGCUUCAGAAUGAACGCGGGCGGCGUGCCUAACACAUGCAAGUCGCACGAGAAAGGGGGCUUCGGUUCCCGAGUAAAGUGGCGCACGGGUGAGUAACGCGUGGGUGACCUACCCUGGAAUCCGGGAUAACACUGCGAAAGUGGUGCUAAUACCGGAUACGAUCCUCUAGCGAUAGAGGGUGAAAGUCGGCCUCUCGAAGAAGCUGAUGUUCCGGGAUGGGCUCGCGUCCUAUCAGCUAGUUGGUAGGGUAACGGCCUACCAAGGCGACGACGGGUAGCUGGUCUGAGAGGAUGAUCAGCCACACUGGCACUGAAACACGGGCCAGACUCCUACGGGAGGCAGCAGUGAGGAAUUUUGCGCAAUGGGGGCAACCCUGACGCAGCAACGCCGCGUGGGUGAAGAAGGUCUUCGGAUCGUAAAGCCCUGUCAGGUGGGAAGAAUGUCUUCAAGGUGAACAAUCUUGGGGAGUGACGGUACCACCAGAGGAAGCACCGGCUAACUCCGUGCCAGCAGCCGCGGUAAUACGGAGGGUGCGAGCGUUGUUCGGAAUCAUUGGGCGUAAAGGGCGUGCAGGCGGCUGGGUAAGUCUGAUGUGAAAGCCCGGGGCUCAACCCCGGAAGUGCAUUGGAAACUGUCCAGCUUGAGUACCGGAGAGGAUGGGGGAAUUCCCGGUGUAGAGGUGAAAUUCGUAGAGAUCGGGAGGAAUACCAGUGGCGAAGGCGCCCAUCUGGACGGAUACUGACGCUGAGACGCGAAAGCGUGGGGAGCAAACAGGAUUAGAUACCCUGGUAGUCCACGCUGUAAACGAUGAGCACUAUGUGUAGCGGGUAUUGACCCCUGCUGUGCCGCAGCUAACGCAUUAAGUGCUCCGCCUGGGGAUUACGGUCGGCAGACUAAAACUCAAAG
rnacentral:rRNA from 1 species